AUGAAUGAUAAUUCUGUAAAUUUGUGCUUUGCGGGUUUCUAUGGUUAUCCUGCAUGGAAUGAAAAAUAUUUAUCUUGGGCUGAUCUUCGCCAACUGCAUUCCCUUGCUGAUUAUCCUUGGGUAGUCAUUGGAGAUUUUAAUGAAAUUAUCUAUUCUAGCGAGAAAGAAGGUGGCAAUGCUAGACCAAAUGAAAUGAUGCAGGAAUUUCGUAAGUGCUUGAGUGACUGUAACCUGGAGGAUAUGGGUUGUGUUGGUGAUACAUUCACUUGGAGAAGGGGGGACAUCUGUGAAAGGCUUGAUCAAGCUAUUUGUAAUUUAGAAUGGGCAAAUAAAUUCCCGUCUGCUGUGAUUAUUAAUGGGGAGCAUGUACACUUAGACCAUACCUCCUUUAAUCCUUGA
rnacentral:rRNA from 1 species